UUUCAAGUGACCGUCUUUAUCUGCACACUCUUACACCAACCUACUCGAGAUGUCGUUAAAAUUUCACAAUCAGUUGCCAACAAUGUUUAAUUCCGUUACACGUCAAGACUCCAUCGCUCUACGAUAUUUCCAUAACACUCGGUUCCUUUUGUCAUUAAACAGAGUUAAUUAAUUCACUGGAAUUUUAACAACAAAGUUAUUCGGCGAUCGACAAGUAUCGACCUGGAAAAAAUUAAUUUGGAACACAAUGAGAAAGGCUUGUUACCAGGAUAUAUCUCGCUACAUGGAUUUCGACUGGUACCACCCUCUGAAAUGUCAACAGGAAUAACUUAAAGUGGCAUCUUUCAUUGAUCAUCACCUGCCCAGUGGAAAUUCCAGUUUCUGUUCGGAUCAGACCCAUAGCAGCCUCUUC